rnacentral:rRNA from 1 species
UGAAUACGAGACGCUAAGGCGUCGAAGUAGUGUAUGUCAUACUUCCAAGAAAAGCUUGCACUGUCAUAGAUAAAAAACGCCUGUACCAUAACCGACACAGGUGGGUAGGUAGAGUAUACUAAGGGGCGCGAGAUAACUCUCUCUAAGGAACUCGGCAAAAUAACUCCGUAACUUCGGGAGAAGGAGUGCCUUAUUCGUAAGGUUGCAAUAACAAGAUCCAAGCAACUGUUUAUCAAAAACACAGGUCUCCGCUAAGUCGUAAGACGAUGUAUGGGGGCUGACGCCUGCCCAGUGCCAGAAGGUUAAAGAAGUUGGUUAGCAAUUGCGAAGCUGAUAACUGAAGCCCUGGUGAACGGCGGCCGUAACAAUAACGGUCCUAAGGUAGCGAAAUUCCUUGUCGGGUAAGUUCCGACCCGCACGAAAGGCGUAAUGAUUUGGAUACUGUCUCGGAGAGGGGCUCGGUGAAAUAGACUUGUCUGUGAAGAUGCGGACUACCUGCACCAGGACAGAAAGACCCUAUGAAGCUUUACUGUAACUUGAAAUUGAAAUUGGACUUUAUUCGCGCAGUAUAGGUGGGAGGCGUUGAUUAUAAUCUUGUGGGAUUAUUGGAGCCAUCAGUGAGAUACCACUCUUGUAAUGUUAGAUUUCUAACUUUGAAUCAUUAUCUGGUCAAAGAACAGUUUCAGGCGGGCAGUUUGACUGGGGCGGUCGCCUCCUAAACGGUAACGGAGGCGUACAAAGGUUUCCUCUGAACGGUUAGAAAUCGUAUCUAGAGUGUAAAGGCAUAAGGAAGCUUGACUGUGAGACCUACAAGUCGAGCAGGGACGAAAGUCGGUCUUAGUGAUCUGACGGUACUGAGUGGAAAGGCCGUCACUCAACGGAUAAAAGUUACUCUAGGAUAACAGGCUGAUCUCCCCCAAGAGUUCACAUCGACGGGGAGGUUUGUCACCUGGAUGUCGGCUCAUCGCAUCCUGGGGCGGUAGUACGUCCCAAGGGUUGGGCUGUUCGCCCAUGAAAGCGGUACGCGAGCUGGGUUCAGAACGUCGUGAGACAGUUCGGUCCAUAUCCGGUGUAGGCGUUAGAAUAUUGAGAGGAGCCUUCUUUAGUACGAGAGGACCGAGAAGGACAUACCUCUGGUGUACCAGUUAUCGUGCCAACGGUAAACGCUGGGUAGCUAUGUAUGGAGUGGAUAACCGCUGAAAGCAUCUAAGUGGGAAGCCCACCUCAAGAUAAGUAUUCUCAC